rnacentral:rRNA from 1 species
UACGAAGGGUGCAAGCGUUACUCGGAAUUACUGGGCGUAAAGCGUGCGUAGGUGGUUCGUUAAGUCUGUCGUGAAAGCCCCGGGCUCAACCUGGGAAUGGCGAUGGAUACUGGCGGGCUAGAGUGCGGUAGAGGAGAGUGGAAUUCCCGGUGUAGUGGUGAAAUGCGUAGAUAUCGGGAGGAACACCAGUGGCGAAGGCGGCUUUCUGGCCUGUUCUUGACGCUGAGGCGCGAAAGCUAGGGGAGCAAACGGG